rnacentral:rRNA from 1 species
GAUGAACGCUAGCGAUAGGCUUAACACAUGCAAGUCGAGGGGCAGCAUGGUCUUAGCUUGCUAAGACUGAUGGCGACCGGCGCACGGGUGCGUAACGCGUAUGCAACUUGCCUCACAGAGGGGGAUAACCCGUCGAAAGACCGACUAAUACCGCGUACACUUGGGAUAGGGCAUCCUGACCCAAGGAAAUUAAAUUCGCUGUGAGAUAGGCAUGCGUCCCAUUAGCUAGUUGGUGAGGUAACGGCUCACCAAGGCGACGAUGGGUAGGGGAACUGAGAGGUUGACCCCCCAGACUGGUACUGAGACACGGACCAGACUCCGACGGGAGGCAGCGGUGAGGAGUAUUGGUCAAUGGGCGAGAGCCUGAACCAGCCAAGUCGCGUGAAGGAUGACUGUCUUAUGGAUUGUAAACUUCUUUUAUACGGGAAUAACAAGAGUCACGUGUGGCUCCAUGCAUGUACCGAAUGAAUAAGCAUCGGCUAACUCCGUG